rnacentral:rRNA from 1 species
AGCGAACGCUGGCGGCAGGCUUAACACAUGCAAGUCGAGCGCCCGUAGCAAUACGGGAGCGGCAGACGGGUGAGUAACACGUGGGAACGUGCCCUUUGGUUCGGAACAACCCAGGGAAACUUGGGCUAAUACCGGAUACGCCCUUACGGGGAAAGAUUUAUCGCCGAAGGAUCGGCCCGCGUCUGAUUAGCUAGUUGGUGGGGUAAUGGCCCACCAAGGCGACGAUCAGUAGCUGGUCUGAGAGGAUGAUCAGCCACACUGGGACUGAGACACGGCCCAGACUCCUACGGGAGGCAGCAGUGGGGAAUCUUGGACAAUGGGCGCAAGCCUGAUCCAGCCAUGCCGCGUGGGUGAUGAAGGCCCUAGGGUUGUAAAGCCCUUUCGGCGGGGAAGAUAAUGACGGUACCCGCAGAAGAAGCCCCGGCUAACUUCGUGCCAGCAGCCGCAGUAACAC